rnacentral:rRNA from 1 species
UACGUAGGGUCCGAGCGUUGUCCGGAAUUAUUGGGCGUAAAGGGCUCGUAGGCGGUUCGUCACGUCGGGAGUGAAAACUCGGAGCUUAACUCCGAGCCUGCUUCCGAUACGGGCAGACUAGAGGUAGGCAGGGGAGAGCGGAACUCCUGGUGUAGCGGUGGAAUGCGCAGAUAUCAGGAAGAACACCGGUGGCGAAGGCGGCUCUCUGGGGCCUUACCUGACGCUGAGGAGCGAAAGCGUGGGUAGCGAACAGG